rnacentral:rRNA from 1 species
GAUCCUGGCUCAGGAUGAACGCUGGCGGCGUGCUUAACACAUGCAAGUCGAACGGAACUCUUUGGAUCGAGACUUCGGUCAAGUGAAUCUGAGUUUAGUGGCGGACGGGUGAGUAACGCGUGAGGAACCUGCCUUUCAGAGGGGGACAACAGUUGGAAACGACUGCUAAUACCGCAUAACGCAUAUUGAUCGCAUGGUCGAUAUGCCAAAGAUUUAUCGCUGAAAGAUGGGCUCGCGUACGAUUAGAUAGUUGGUGAGGUAACGGCUCACCAAGUCGACGAUCGUUAGCCGGACUGAGAGGUUGAACGGCCACAUUGGGACUGAGACACGGCCCAGACUCCUACGGGAGGCAGCAGUGAGGAAUAUUGGGCAAUGGGCGCAAGCCUGACCCAGCAAUGCCGCGUGAAGGAAGACGGUUUUCGGAUUGUAAACUUCUUUAAGAGGGACGAUAAUGACGGUACCUCUUGAAUAAGCCACGGCUAACUACGUG